rnacentral:rRNA from 1 species
AUUGAACGCUGGCGGCAUGCCUUACACAUGCAAGUCGAACGGCAGCACGGGUGGCUUGCACCUGGUGGCGGAGUGGCGGAACGGGGUGGAGUAAUACAUCGGAAUGUACCUUGUAGUGGGGGGAUAGCUCGGCGAAAGCCGGAUUAAUACCGCAUACGCUCUGAGGAGGAAAGCGGGGGACCUUCGGGCCUCGUGCUACAAGAGCAGCCGAUGUCAGAUUAGCUUGUU